UACGAAGGGGGCUAGCGUUGCUCGGAAUCACUGGGCGUAAAGAGCGCGCAGGCGGUCGUUCAAGUCGAGUGUGAAAGCCCCCGGCUCAACUGGGGAGGGUCAUUCGAUACUGAUCGACUCGAAGGCAGGAGAGGGUAGUGGAAUUCCCGGUGUAGUGGUGAAAUGCGUAGAUAUCGGGAGGAACACCAGUGGCGAAGGCGACUACCUGGCCUGUUCUUGACGCUGAGGCGCGAAAGCUAGGGGAGCAAACGGG
rnacentral:rRNA from 1 species